rnacentral:antisense_RNA from 1 species
CUUGACCGACCCCAGCCAGAGCGGCUCCCCCACCCGGUCCCGCCCGUACGUGGCCAGCAGCGCCUGGGCCUC